rnacentral:rRNA from 1 species
GCCUAUGAUUGGAUCAAGCCAAAUGCGCCCGAUCUCGUGAGAUCUCAGAAGCUAAGCAGAGUUGAGUCUGGAAUAUGCUUGGAUAGGUGACUACCUUGCACAGCAGGUUAUUAUAGGCU